rnacentral:rRNA from 1 species
ACUGCUCAGUUAACACGUGGAUAACCUGCCCUUGGGUCCGGCAUAACCCCGGGAAACUGGGGAUAAUUCCGGAUAACGCACAUAUGCUGGAAUGCUUUAUGCGUAAAAUGGAUUCGUCUGCCCAAGGAUGGGUCUGCGGCCUAUCAGGUAGUAGUGGGUGUAAUGUACCUACUAGCCAACAACGGGUACGGGUUGUGAGAGCAAGAGCCCGGAGAUGGAUUCUGAGACAUGAAUCCAGGCCCUACGGGGCGCAGCAGGCGCGAAAACUUUACAAUGCGGGAAACCGUGAUAAGGGGACACCGAGUGCCAGCAUCAUAUGCUGGCUGUCCAGGUGUGUAAAAUACACCUGUUAGCAAGGGCCGGGCAAGACCGGUGCCAGCCGCCGCGGUAACACCGGCGGCCCGAGUGGUGAUCGUGAUUAUUGGGUCUAAAGGGUCCGUAGCCGGUUUGGUCAGUCCUCCGGGAAAUCUGACGGCUCAACCGUUAGGCUUUCGGGGGAUACUGCCAGGCUUGGAACCGGGAGAGGUAAGAGGUACUACAGGGGUAGGAGUGAAAUCUUGUAAUCCCUGUGGGACCACCUGUGGCGAAGGCGUCUUACCAGAACGGGUUCGACGGUGAGGGACGAAAGCUGGGGGCACGAACCGGAUUAGAUACCCGGGUAGUCCCAGCCGUAAACGAUGCUCGCUAGGUGUCAGGCAUGGCGCGACCGUGUCUGGUGCCGCAGGGAAGCCGUGAAGCGAGCCACCUGGGAAGUACGGCCGCAAGGCUGAAACUUAAAGGAAUUGGCGGGGGAGCAC